CAGGCGGCAAUUGAAUUCUAAAAUUUAGAUAUUUGCGCCACAUCCAAAAAGUGUUCCAAAACCCUUAACAUUCUAUAUUGAAACCAUUGUACUCCCGCAAAAACUCCCGAAAAAACACACAGAAGCAGUUCGACACCCACCACCGCCGCUACACAUCUGCACCAGCGCUCCAUUGCGCUGUUCGCCUUCCGUCUACUUCUGCCCUCCGCUGAGCGCUGGCUUCCCAAUUCUGAGAUUCAAUGUUGCAUGCACAUGUAAAACAUGAUAGUCAGGUCAAAGGAGACCUUGGAGGUGAUUCUAGCCCUCAUGAGGGCUGCAAGUUCUGCUGACUGUUUCUGCUACUGCUCAACCUUUGGCUGAUCAUCGGUUGGUUCUAGUUCGACAGUGAUGGUUGAUUAUUUCACUCUUUCUACUGCAGGUUCCUGUAUUCAGAUGCUAAUGUUCCUUAGAAAGAACUGUCAAGUACUUUCAAGCAACCUGUCCAGACAACACAGAAAAUAGAGAAAAGGAAGAGCUUUUGGUUUCACUCAAAGGUGUACGGAAAGAAAACAAGAGCAUCUUGACGCUAUUAAUCUCCACUAGUGCCUUUAGGUCAACAAAUCUCACAAAUUCACAAAUUAUAUGCCCUUCUUCUCUCAUUCUUUCUCUACUUAUACUACUGUCUAGUAUAAUGUUUUAGUGACUAUUUGUCUUGUAACAGUAACGGCUCGUAAGCACUCCUUGCCACCUACUGCUCUUGUUGUUUGUUUGUUGUUUGUUGGUGGUCUACCCCUGCUGUCAGCCUUUGGGCCUCUCUUGUGUCGCCUACGAUAUACAAUGGGGUCAUAACACUAUUGUUGUCAUUAUCCCAAUCGUCGGGUCACUAUCACUUAUCAGUCAUAAUAGCUACAUUAUUCAUUUUACAGAGGAAGAAGCAGAAAAAGUCUGCUACAAACCUUAACAAGGAAGAAAUUAAAAUACUCCAGUCCUUACAGUAUAAUCUUGGAACCGUCAAGGUUGCAACAAACGACUUUUCUGAUGACAAUUAUCUCAGAGAAGGUAGAUUCGGCACAGUUUAUAAGCACUGUCAAGAUGUUUACUGCAUCGAGGGAGAUUCAAAAAGAAAGGGGCGUUAACCCAACUGACCUUGAGGAGAAUCUUGCUCAGGCAAUAUUUGACCUUGAGACCAACAAUAAGGAUAUGGGAACUGAAUUAAAGGAUCUGUUUAUCAACUCCGUUGCUCAGGUUGACAUUUCGAACAACAAGAAGGCUUUUGUUGUCCAUGUUCCAUACUGAUUGAGAAAAGCUACAGCAAGGAAUUGCGGUGAAGAGGG